AAGGACUGGUACAAGGUCCUGGGGGCCAAACCUUCGGACAGCCCAGCAGAACUGAAAAGGAAAUACCAAAAACUUGCUUUGUUGGUACAAAGCUCCAGCCUGUAAUUCUGAAAGGAGAAAAAAUGCAAGUGAGUGCUUUGAAACCGGCAGAGAUUCCUUGGCUGGCUCUUACAAACUCGUGCUGAAAUGCUUUCUGAGGCACAGAAGACUUGUAGCUCCCAUUCUCUGAAAGGAAUCCAGCAAAUUCUGAAAAUGAAUAUCUUGCUGAAGUGGUAGGAGUGGGUCUUGAAUCUUCUGUCUUCAUAACAUGCUGGUGGGUUUGAGAUAUUUGGGAUCCACAGUCACAUACAUGUUGGUUUCAACAAGGUGAUUUCUUCAAUGGAUAAAUGGGUUUUGUGCUCUGUGCUUGGUUUUUUUAAGGAAUCCAUUCAGCUUUUAGGAAGGGCAGUGCUUAUGUUCCGUUUCUAAAUGUGUAUAAAAUCAACAGAAGAUAAAAUUAGAGCAACAGAAAUAAGGUAUCCAGGGAACACACACACACACAGACACCUCCCUUCAUCUUAUUUUUGGCACAAUUUUUGCAUUUGCUUUUGGUCUAGCACUCUGUUGUCAAAGAAUAAGUUGUCAGAUUGUUUUUGAAUUUUUAUGUAGCUGCUUUAUAUAUGAAAACUGCUUUUCACCAGGAAUAAAGUCACCAAACACAUAAGCUUUGUCUAGCUGAAAAUCAGGUGUCUGUUCCUGUUGAUGCUGAUAAUAUUAUAGGAUACCUUUCAACUGGAAAAAAAUUAUUGUGCAAGAAAAUUAUAUGCUGCUGUUACAAUGUGUGCCCUAAUCUUAAAGAAAAUCCAUGUAAUUUGAGCAGGCAGCAGCAAGAAGCUCUUAUUUUUAAUAUGGUAUGGCAAUAAAAUAUAUGUGCCACUUACAAAUAUGUGCCACUUAACACAGAGUGUUACAAAAAUUAUCUUUUUUAUCAAAAGGGGUGGUGUGUGUGUAUAUAAAUCCAAAGUGUUAAGGUGCUCACUUGAUCUGUUUGAAGGAGUAGGAGAUUUGCAAACAGAGAGCAUCAGGUACAGGUGAAAAUGACUCUCAGCAACAAAAAAUAAGGAAAUUAAUAAAAAUUUAAUUUAAUGAGGCAAAAUUACUUCAAGAAGUAGUUUAAAACAAAGUAGUUUUAAACAUGUUCCAUGGAAUAAACUCAAGAAGAGUUUAUUGCAUGGAACAUGUUUAAAGGAAAGACAUAUGACUUUCUGGAGAGUAAACCUCUGUUACUGAUUUCUGUACUCAUCUAAAUUCUGCAAUCACAAGAAAUGCAGAGGGUGUCAUAUAUGCAAAGAGCUGCUUGUUCUUUUUUUUUGUGAUUGUUCUUUUCAUGUUUGUUGCAAGGUAAAUUCAGUAUUACUCCUGAAAGGACCUGCCUGCUUAGAAUUUCAUGCUGAGUUUAAGUUGAGAAUUUGAAACUUAAAAAUGAAAACACCGAGUUUUGUAUUGGAAGUCUGAUAAUAAUGCUUUUCAUGAGAUUCAGGCAGUGUAAGUAUUCCUCUUUCAAUAUCCUUGGGCAGGUUUUUAUUUUUUUAUUUGAAUAGCAGCACACUUUUUAGCAGUGUUUAACAGAUCAUCAUGCUUAGCUAAUUCUAACUUCACCUAACUGGUAGAAAAUGGGUUUGUAAUUUGACAAUAUAAACAGAGCAAGUUCAGUGGAGUUAAUCUAAUAGCUGCAGAGAGAAAGAUAAGCAUCAAGUUUGAUACAAAGGACUGUUGUUUCAAUGCUCAGGGUAGAUUUACUCUGAGCUGUUCUCUACAUCUCAUGUACUAAUUACCACUUGAAUAAAAAGAAGGGGGCAUAUUUUCAACCUGAGGAGUUGAUUGUCAGUCUAGGUAGUACCAGGUGAAGCUCAGUGCUAGAGAAGUCACUAAUUCAAACAGCUUCAUUAGCCAGCCAGGUCAUGGUCCUGCUGCUGUUUAAACUAUGAGUUGUGUGAUUUAUUCACCUGACUCUGGUGUUGGUUUUUGUUUGGUUCACAAUGAGGUAUGUAAUGAUUUUUUUAAAGAUGCAGGUGAAUUUUAACAAGUGGGUGGGGUGUGAAUAUCCCUGCAGAAGAAGUUUUGUCUUUUACGUAGAAUGUGAGAACCAAAUAAGCCAACAAGUAAAUAGUGCAUUGCUUAUUCAGGUAGUUCAGCCAGUUGUGAAAGCAAUGUUAGGUUUUUUUUAUUAUUAUUUCUAAAUUUAAUCUGUUUACUUACAGGGUUAUUGUCUACAGUUCAUUUGUUAUAAUAAGCAGCUUCUGGUACCUCACCCUCUGUAGAUUUAUGGUUCAUACACAACAGAAUGGGCACCAGGCAAUUGAAAUGGGAGAUUUGGGCACUAUGUGCUUGGCCUUUGAUGUCAUUUGUGCUCUGCAGAGGAAUCUGAUGCCUCUCUUGAACACUUUGUGCCCUGGUUAUGUAAGUUAUUCAUUGUAAUAUAUAUUAAAAAAAAGAUCUAUACUCUGUUUGGUAGACUUUUUGUGAAAGGUGUUCAAUACUCACAAAUAUUCACUAUGUCCUGAAUCAGUAUAAAAUAAAAAUUCUGAUCAAAAAUAAAAUCUUUAGUGGUUUAUUAAAUGCCAUAAAGAUAUUUCUUUAACAUUUGCAAGUGUUCUUCCAGCAUUUUGAAGACAUGUUGAAAUAAUUUUAUAUUGUGCAGUGUGCUUUUUAUCUCAUUUCCAAUGAGAGAUGUUUGAAAUCAAGAUCAGAGAGAAAAAGAUACCAAUUAAAGCACAAAGAAGGAGGCUACAAAGAGCAGCAUAAAGCUUUUGUAUCACAAAUGUUCUGGUUGUUCUGAUGUUUGAGCAGCCACAGUCAAGAGUACCUUGAGCUGUUCAGUAUUUCCAAAUCAGACCAUGCAUUCAGGUGUCCACUUGAGAAAUUUUAAGCCCCAGGUCAGUUAUUUAAAGAAGCUCCAAGUCCAGAACAAUGGUCUGAAGGGUGAUAAAAGUUCAGGGUAGAAUCAAUCAUGUUGGAAUGGCUGUGUUUAUAGAAGGAUCUCUUAUGGCUGUUAAACAAAAUUGACCAUGUUUGUGUUCAAUCUCAAACAGUUAUUACAUAUUUUCAAAUAUUGUCCUGUGAUGUACUAGCCUGUAAAAUUCAGUGUUUGGGGGACUUGUUGGAUUUUUUAUUAUUUAAAUAAAUAAUCUGUGUCUAAUUUUGUCUUCUGUUUGAAAAACAUAAUAAAAUUAUUAUGUUGUUUAAGCGA